rnacentral:lncRNA from 1 species
GGAUUGUCCAAAAAAUCUACAUAACACAUUUCAGAGUUUCUAAAAGGGGCCUUUUAGAAUCGAUGACGACGCUUCAGUGUUUUGAUUAGCCAUACCAAACCUGAAAAGACCCAAAAUAACUCUCCGAUCUCGUUACUGAUUUGCUUCUCCAUCCCAAAUCAUUGAAUCGUCGAUUGAGGUGUCAUUAGGAGCCUAAUUGUUGUCAAUCUACUUCUACUACCUUAUGCGCGAAAGAGGGAAUAGCUCUAGCAAGAUAAGUUUCUACAUUUCUUUUUAGUCCCUCUAUUGCCAAGAGACGUGCAACACCAUUUGCAUGUUUUGACACAUAAUGAAAAACGCAGUGUUGAUACCGCUCGCAUGUUGUUCUUAUGUUACAGAUGUAUGCCCCCAUUACUGACCUUUCGACUCUCUUUUCUUUUAGUUUUCAGAUCACAGCCAAGGAGUCACCUUUGAUUUCCACACUUGAAAACCCAAUUGAAAGCCUGUCUCAAUCGCUUGGAAACAAGCCAUUGCGUCCGCUGCAAAAUGUGAAGAUAUGUUGACAUGCAUUUUAGUUUUUGAACAGAGAACACUACCUGAAUAAUCCCGAAUAAUAAUAUCUGAACAAGAUUUGUUAUUUUGUUGACAAAAUCCUGCGUCAAAGUUUAUUUUAACGAAAUGUUCUUGUGGCAACUUCCAAGACACUAUAGGUACUAUACAUACAACUGAUUUGUCUCUCCCACCAUCACCUUCCACCAAAUAGUGCUUAAUGAAAUUCACUGUCUGUUGCAAUGGAAUGUUGCCCAUCAUGUAAUAACUUAUUACGCUCAGUCCAUAUAGCCCACAUCACAAAACAAAACACACGACAAAGUUACAAUGAGUUAUUUACAAAAAAAAUGUUGAAUCUAAUCUUUCAUUGAUGACUCUUAUGUUUCUGUUUGUCGCACGAUCCCUAAUUGAUGCCAUAUUUCUUUUGUCUGCAGGCAUUCCUGGAACACAUGUUCCAUCAUUUCAACACCAUUGUGACAUCGAGGACAAUUUUCUGAAAUAAUCAGUCUCCCAUAAUUCAAAUUAGCAUAAGUAGAUAGAAAAUUAUUUGUAAUCCUCCAGGCUGUUAUUUUAAUUUUGGAGGGCUGGUCUAGGCUCCAAAGUCUCUUGUACAGAUUAGCGUAGGGAUAGGAAUUUUCUUCAGUAAAAAUUUUCUUGAUGAUUAUGUAUUAACCAUUCGUAAGCAUUGCACACUAUGUACUCCCUUAUUGCUUAUCCAUUCCAAGCUCAAAAAUCCUCAUGUGGAACAUUAGACAGAAGGAUGGCUAAGAUUCGCCUUGCAUCUUCUUCUAUAAGGGUAGAGUGUAUAACAUCCUCCUUCCAUUUCCUUGUUUUCGAAUCAAUUAAAUCUGCCACUGUUUGAAUAGAAUUUUCAUGAAAGAGGGACUGAAUUUUUUUAUUUGGGUUCCUAGGUAUCCAUGCAUCCAUUCUCACCAAAACCUCUAAACCCAUACCAAUUCU